rnacentral:rRNA from 1 species
ACCGCCAGCUAAGGUCCCAAAGUCAUGGUUAAGUGGGAAACGAUGUGGGAAGGCCCAGACAGCCAGGAUGUUGGCUUAGAAGCAGCCAUCAUUUAAAGAAAGCGUAAUAGCUCACUGGUCGAGUCGGCCUGCGCGGAAGAUGUAACGGGGCUAAACCAUGCACCGAAGCUGCGGCAGCGACGCUUAUGCGUUGUUGGGUAGGGGAGCGUUCUGUAAGCCUGUGAAGGUGUGUCGUGAGGCAUGCUGGAGGUAUCAGAAGUGCGAAUGCUGACAUAAGUAACGAUAAAGCGGGUGAAAAGCCCGCUCGCCGGAAGACCAAGGGUUCCUGUCCAACGUUAAUCGGGGCAGGGUGAGUCGACCCCUAAGGCGAGGCCGAAAGGCGUAGUCGAUGGGAAACGGGUUAAUAUUCCCGUACUUGGUGUUACUGCGAAGGGGGGACGGAGAAGGCUAUGUUGGCCGGGCGACGGUUGUCCCGGUUUAAGCGUGUAGGUGUGUGUUCCAGGUAAAUCCGGUUCACUUUAACACUGAGGCGUGAUGACGAGGCACUACGGUGCUGAAGUAACAAAUGCCCUGCUUCCAGGAAAAGCCUCUAAGCAUCAGGUAACAUCAAAUCGUACCCCAAACCGACACAGGUGGUCAGGUAGAGAAUACCAAGGCGCUUGAGAGAACUCGGGUGAAGGAACUAGGCAAAAUGGUGCCGUAACUUCGGGAGAAGGCACGCUGACACGUAGGUGAAGUGAUUUACUCACGGAGCUGAAGUCAGUCGAAGAUACCAGCUGGCUGCAACUGUUUAUUAAAAACACAGCACUGUGCAAACACGAAAGUGGACGUAUACGGUGUGACGCCUGCCCGGUGCCGGAAGGUUAAUUGAUGGGGUCAGCGCAAGCGAAGCUCCUGAUCGAAGCCCCGGUAAACGGCGGCCGUAACUAUAACGGUCCUAAGGUAGCGAAAUUCCUUGUCGGGUAAGUUCCGACCUGCACGAAUGGCGUAAUGAUGGCCAGGCUGUCUCCACCCGAGACUCAGUGAAAUUGAACUCGCUGUGAAGAUGCAGUGUACCCGCGGCAAGACGGAAAGACCCCGUGAACCUUUACUAUAGCUUGACACUGAACAUUGAGCCUUGAUGUGUAGGAUAGGUGGGAGGCUUUGAAGUGUGGACGCCAGUCUGCAUGGAGCCGACCUUGAAAUACCACCCUUUAAUGUUUGAUGUUCUAACGUGGACCCGUUACCCGGGUUGCGGACAGUGUCUGGUGGGUAGUUUGACUGGGGCGGUCUCCUCCUAAAGAGUAACGGAGGAGCACGAAGGUUGGCUAAUCCUGGUCGGACAUCAGGAGGUUAGUGCAAUGGCAUAAGCCAGCUUGACUGCGAGCGUGACGGCGCGAGCAGGUGCGAAAGCAGGUCAUAGUGAUCCGGUGGUUCUGAAUGGAAGGGCCAUCGCUCAACGGAUAAAAGGUACUCCGGGGAUAACAGGCUGAUACCGCCCAAGAGUUCAUAUCGACGGCGGUGUUUGGCACCUCGAUGUCGGCUCAUCACAUCCUGGGGCUGAAGUAGGUCCCAAGGGUAUGGCUGUUCGCCAUUUAAAGUGGUACGCGAGCUGGGUUUAGAACGUCGUGAGACAGUUCGGUCCCUAUCUGCCGUGGGCGCUGGAGAACUGAGGGGGGCUGCUCCUAGUACGAGAGGACCGGAGUGGACGCAUCACUGGUGUUCGGGUUGUCAUGCCAAUGGCACUGCCCGGUAGCUAAAUGCGGAAGAGAUAAGUGCUGAAAGCAUCUAAGCACGAAACUUGCCCCGAGAUGAGUUCUCCCUGAGACUUUAGGUCUCCUGAAGGAACGUUGAAGACGACGACGUUGAUAGGCCGGGUGUGUAAGCGCAGCGAUGCGUUGAGCUAACCGGUACUAAUGAACCGUGAGGCUUAACCUUACAACGCCG